rnacentral:rRNA from 1 species
AGUGAACGUUGGCGGCGUGGAUUAGGCAUGCAAGUCGAGCGAGAACCGUAGCAAUACGGGGACAGCGGCGAAAGGGACAGUAAUGUGUAGGUACCUACCUCCGGGUUCGGGAUAGCUGCGGGAAACUGCAGGUAAUACCGAAUAACGUCUCCGGACCAAAGGUGUGAUUCCACCUGGAGAGGGGCCUGCAUCCUAUUAGCUUGUUGGCGGGGUAACGGCCCACCAAGGCGACGAUGGGUAGCGGGUGUGAGAGCACGACCCGCGUCAUUGGGACUGAGACACUGCCCAGACACCUACGGGUGGCUGCAGUCGUGAAUCUUCGGCAAUGGGCGCAAGCCUGACCGAGCGACGCCGCGUGCGGGAUGAAGGCCUUCGGGUUGUAACCCGCUGUCGUAGAGGAGGAAAUGCAGGGGGGUUCUCCCUUCUGUUUGACCUAUUCUAGGAGGAAGGACGGGCUAAGUUCGUGCCAGCCGCCGCCGUAA